CGGCUAGGCCCGGCCGGCCCCGGCUGGCCCCGCGCGCUCGCCGCGCGAAGGAGAGAAGGGAUAGAGCAAGGCAAGAAAGGAGACACUGUUCAUUAAUGAUCGUUGGCAUAUGGCUGUGAGUGAGCAAAAUGAGUACUUGGGGUUCAACUGAAUAACAUAAUCAAAAUACUUCAUAAGAAUGAGAUGUUUCUGAAGCUACAAAAACUGUGACAAAAUCAAGAGAUGCUCACACAACUGCUUCAGUUAUUAAUUAAAGUCCAAUGUUGGAGAGCUCCACAAUGAUAACCCUUGCAGACCCUUGAAAAUUGACCAAAGUGGGAAAAGAUUGGUGUCUGCUUAUGUUUUAACUUCCUGUGGACCAGUCAGCUUUUUGGGAUCAGUAACCGCUGUUCAUCUGAUAUUCUGAACUGUCUUGUUGAGUCACUUUUCCUCUCUGAUUUUGCGUUGCUAGUUCUUUUAUUAAGCUCAUGUUAACUCCAGUUGGCAUUGCUUGCCACUACUUGUCAUGUCAGAAGUUUAUUUAUCUCCCCACAGAAGUAUGUUGUGACAGAUUGAUCAUCAAAGAGCUCAUUGUUUUCACCUGUUCUUGUCUUGACACUUCUCUGGCUGUUUGGGAACCUGUUUUCCGCCUGAGAUUGUGGAUGCUACCAGAAGAGUUGGGGUAUUUGAAGUGGAGUGCCAACAGUCUCAAGGUUGCCAGCUCUGGGCAGUGCCAAAGUCAAGCUUUCAGAUAAAUGGGAAAUGUGCUCAGUUACACACAUUAAUAUUAGCUGUAUACACACAUAUUUAUUAGCUGUUUUCAGAUAUUAUUUAUCAAAACUAGCAGUGAUCAAUACAUUCAGUGGUACAAAAUAUAGGCCUAAACUCUAUUCGUGUUUAAGACUGGAUGAAAACGGCUCAAGGACAAACCAAGAGAGGACCACUAGCCUGACCAUCUGGUGGGCUGGAGGUGAUGCUCUGGUUCAUGUUGCAGGCACAACUUUAAAUCCUACAGUUUCACUCAACUUGUUUAAACCAUGGAAAACUGAUAAAAACUAGAUAACAUAUAAUACCUUUCAUAGAGAGGUUUUGGAGUGACACUUUUUUUCUUCCCUCCUCUGGGCUGGAUUGAUGCAAAUAGAAUCCUCUCUGAUGGGCACCUUCCUGGGCAUCUCCUUUGGGAGCAGAAAGCUGUCUAGGGAUCUGUUCUGUGUUCCACACUGCUCCCUUAUGCUGCCUUAUGCAGAAUAUGAAUGUUUUCUUGCAGCCAGACCCAUGAAACAAAGAUGGGAGGUUUUCCCUGAGGUCAGAGGUCCUGCCUUGUCCUUACCUGGGGUCGUGUCCAGUGCAGCAUGUCAGCAGUGUGCUGUGUUAUGAAGUUUGUUCUCUGUGCCAGCUACCUAAUUUUGUGAUGUGAGUCAUCCCACCAGAAGCCGACCCCAAAUGACCAAGAGUUCAUUGCAUUCUGUCAGGAAUAAAGUUUGGGCAGGAUACAGGAUUUUUUUGGCUUCAGCAGAUGAGGUGAGCCCCUGGUGAAAAGAAUUUGAAAUUUCAAGUGGAAAUACGUGGAAGGAGGGAAGAAUGUACAAAUAAUGCCAAGAAACAGACCAACUUCUCUGGCACAAAAUAUGAAGAAGACUUUCCAGCUGGUGGUGGGGGACCCAAAACAAAUGUGGUGAUCAGAAAUGAAGACACUGAGUUAUCUUUUUAUUCCUGUUAGUAUAAGUAAUUUUCAAGUAAGAUGAUAAUAUAAAAUAUGUUGUGAAA